AUGGACGACCGGGACCUCGACGACGCGGCGCUCUGGGCCUCCGUCGACACGGCCGUCGCCGAGGCCUCGCGCCGGGCGCUGCCCAUGCCGCCGCCCUCCUCCCCCGCCGUCUCCCUGUGGCCCGCCCCCCACGACGACCCCCACCGCGGCGAGGUGCUGCAGCCCGCCCGCCCCUUCAAGCUCCCGCGCGUCGCCGCCUCCCACGGCCGCGGCCGCGGCCGCGCCACGCCGCCCCCGCCCCCGCCGUCGCCCUCGUCUCCCCCGCCCUACAUGGCGCCCGACGCCUCCAGGCCGCUGAUGCUCGUCCAGAGCCCGCACCCCGAGCUGCCCUGGGUCACGGAGCCCGGCGCGGCGGGGAGCCCCGUCGCCGCCGCCCCCGCCGCGCACGGCCUCUUCCCCUCCGCCGCCGCGUCCGUCGCCAGCUUCAGGAAGUACCAGGAGGUAGCCGUCUCGAUUCUAGAUAAAAGCGACUACACCGUGAUCAGUGGGAACCCAUACAUAAAGAAGUCAGGGUGGAGAAAAAUAUCGUGCUUCUACAAUAUCUCAUUUGAAAUCAAAGACCACUCUAUUGAAUUUGAUGACAGCCACAAUGUCAACUGUGCUGAAUUUCUUGUCAGAGCGUCUAUGCAAAGUGGCAGGUUCUCAGAUGGCUGGGGUUCAUGUGAUCGACGGGAAAAGAGAUUCAACAAGCCAAACCAUGAUAUCCCCAGCACAGCUGAAACCAGAGCUAAGAACAAAGCUUGUCAGGAUCUUCUUGGCAUCGGCCAUAACCGUCCAGGAUGA
rnacentral:rRNA from 1 species